GGAGGGGCACUUGUAGAUUAUUUAAAGAAAUAAUCCAUGCACAAUAACCACUACUGCUCUGUGUAGUGGUUAUGGUGCCAGGAGUGCUGGGACUCCCUCCCAGAGUAAGUAGUCAAACCGUUUAAGAACAGUUUGACAACUUAUCUGGGGUCUGCUGGGAUAUGGUAUAGGAGCAGUGGUGCAAUGUGUGAGGGGUGCAGUGUGUGUGAAAGG